GUUGUUCGGAAUUACUGGGCGUAACGGGCUCGUAGGCGGCCAACUAAGUCAUACGUGAAAUCCCUCGGCUUAACCGGGGAACUGCGUCUGAUACUGGAUGGCUUGAGGUUGGGAGAGGGAUGCGGAAUUCCAGGUGUAGCGGUGAAAUGCGUAGAUAUCGGGAGGAACACCAGUGGCGAAGGCGACUACCUGGCCUAAUACUGACGCUGAGGCGCGAAAGCGUGGGGAGCGAACAGG
rnacentral:rRNA from 1 species